UACCAGCACCCCGAGUGGCCGGGACGUUUAUUGGGCCUAAAGCAUCCGUAGCCGGUUCUACAAGUCUUCCGUUAAAUCCAACUGCUUAACAGGUGGGCUGCGGAAGAUACUAUAGAGCUAGGAGGCGGGAGAGGCAAGCGGUACUCGAUGGGUAGGGGUAAAAUCCGUUGAUCCAUUGAAGACCACCAGUGGCGAAGGCGGCUUGCCAGAACGCGCUCGACGGUGAGGGAUGAAAGCUGGGGGAGCAAACCGG
rnacentral:rRNA from 1 species